rnacentral:rRNA from 1 species
GUAACGCUGGCGGCGUGCUUAACACAUGCAAGUCGAACGAUGAAGCCCAGCUUGCUGGGUGGAUUAGUGGCGAACGGGUGAGUAACACGUGAGUAACCUGCCCCCGACUCUGGGAUAAGCCCGGGAAACUGGGUCUAAUACCGGAUAUGACCAUGGAACGCAUGUUUUGUGGUGGAAAGAUUUAUCGGUGGGGGAUGGACUCGCGGCCUAUCAGCUUGUUGGUGAGGUAAUGGCUCACCAAGGCGACGACGGGUAGCCGGCCUGAGAGGGUGACCGGCCACACUGGGACUGAGACACGGCCCAGACUCCUACGGGAGGCAGCAGU